GAUGAACGCUGACAGAAUGCUUAACACAUGCAAGUCGAUGGGGAAGUGGUGCUUGCACCAUGGCAACCAUGGCGGACGGGUGAGUAACGCGUAAGGGACUUACCUGCAGGACUGGGAUAACAGGGGGAAACUCCUGACAAGACCGGAUAAUGUCAUGGAGCUGCAUGGCUUUAUGAUGAAAGGAGACGCCUGCGGAGAGCCUUGCGUCCUAUUAGCUAGUUGGUGAGGUAAUGGCUCACCAAGGCGAAGAUAGGUAGCCGGCCUGAGAGGGUGGACGGCCAAAAGGGGACUGAGAAACGGCCCUUACUCCUACGGGGGGCAGCGGGGGGGAAUAUUGGAAAAUGGGGGAAACCCUGAUCCAGCAAUUCUGGGUGCAAAAAGAAGGUUUUCGGAUUGAAAAGUGCUUUCAGCAGGGAAGAAGUAAGUGACGGUACCUGCAGAAGAAGCGACGGCUAAAUACGU
rnacentral:rRNA from 1 species